rnacentral:rRNA from 1 species
AUACGUAGGGGGCGAGCGUUGUCCGGAAUGAUUGGGCGUAAAGGGCGCGUAGGCGGCCCGGUAAGUCUGGAGUGAAAGUCCUGUUUUUAAGAUGGGAAUUGCUUUGGAUACUGUCGGGCUUGAGUGCAGGAGAGGUAAGUGGAAUUCCCAGUGUAGCGGUGAAAUGCGUAGAGAUUGGGAGGAACACCAGUGGCGAAGGCGACUUACUGGACUGUAACUGACGCUGAGGCGCGAAAGUGUGGGGAGCAAACAGGAUUAGAUACCCUGGUAGUCCACACUGUAAACGAUGAAUGCUAGGUGUAGAGGGUAUCGACCCCUUCUGUGCCGCAGUCAACACAAUAAGCAUUCCGCCUGGGGAGUACGGCCGCAAGGUUGAAACUCAAAGGAAUUGACGGGG